rnacentral:misc_RNA from 1 species
UUGCACACACUAUCAUUUGCAUAUCUAUCAAUCUCAUUCAACCACUGCUUGACAUUGUUGAAGCUCUCCAUCUCAGUAACAUCAUAGACUAUAAUUAUCCCAUGUGCACCUCGGUAAUAACUACUUGUUAUGGUCCGGAAACGCUCCUGUCCAGCAGUAUCCCAAAUCUGCAGCUUAAUUGUCUUGCCAUCCNAGCUCCACAGUUCUGAUUUUAAAAUCAACUCCAAUAGUACUGAUAUAGCUGUCCACGUAGGAAUCAUCGGCAAAUCUGAGAAGCAGACACGAUUUUCCAACGGACGAGUCUCCGAUUAGCAGAAGCUUAAAGAGAUAAUCAUAUUCGUUGCUCAUGAUUGGAGACGUUUGGAUCGAAGUGGACAAUCCUGUGGUGUAAUUUUCUCGUGGUUUCUCUUCGACAAAGAAAG